GAAAAGAUAAUUUCUAGGUUUUCCUUUUUUUCAAUUUUAAAAUUAUUUUGUAAUUCGUACAAUUGGGUGAAUAAAUUCAGGUUGAUGAAUGCAUAAUUGGGCUUGAGAAGCUAGUGGAAGCUAGAUUUUGGCAUUAUUGAGCAUUUUUAUUUUAGUUGAAGCACAAAGAGAUACUUGCUACUGAAAAUCCAGCCCCUAGGAGUGUUGAAAGAAGGCAUAAAGCUCAAUUUUCAGAAUGGGUUCAUAAUCGCGUGGAGCAUAUGUAUAAAGACGGAAUGGUUGGCAAAGAUUUGUAUUAUUUGGUUUGUGGUCCUUUACGCACAGUAAGACGUUACAAUGGCUAUAUUGUUAAUGGUUUUAGGUUUCACACCCUCGAUCGCCAAGAAAAUAGGAAAAGCUUUUUUUUCUUAAUAGGAAAAUAGGUAUAAAGACGGAAUGGUUGGCAAAGAUUUUUUUUCUUAAUAACUAGAAUGGUUAACUAUUAUGGCUAUUUAUGUGUAAUGGAAUAUAUUGCUUAGGUUUAUUUGUUCAUUUUUGUUGACUAAUUCUUUUUAAUCUGUUUUCAGUAAUGGAUGUCAUGAAGAUUAUGAUUGUGAAUGAAAAGUCAAGUAAAAAGAGAACUUGUUGAGCACCUUCUAACUUUUUGGUCAAAAACUCUACCCAUCACUUUUGGCAUCUACAUAUAUUUUGGACCUGCAGUGAGGAGAAUAAGACAUAUUUGAGUACAACACCUUCUAACUUUUUUGUCACAAACUUUCACUCAUCACUUUUUAGCAUCUACAUAUAUUUUGGACAAUGUAGAGAUGGAUUAUUGUCAUUAUUAUUAAAGUUGAUGGGUAUUGUAAGGACAAUACUUUCAAAUUUGUAUAUGUAUGUCAAUU